ACCCAAGGACUUCAGCCCUCCGGUGAUACCUGGUUCAGCAAAGACUAGGCCUUGGGGAGUGUUUACGGCUCUGUCAUCAUAACAGCAUUGUGGCAGAAGUAUGGAAACACCAGCAUAUACAGGAUAACUUCUUCAGAUGACUGCAAAGCGCAACAUUGCAAAGCUCACUUCUACAACCCUAGUCACCAAUGACCGUGCACCACCAUACCCCUUGCUCACCAGUUCAAACAAACUACCGCCCUCGAGUCAGAAGGCUGUCCUCAUCGUCCAACACACAGCGGUAAACAUCACCCCAGGACUUCAGCCCUCCGGUGAUACCUGGUUCAGCGAAGACUAGGCCUUGGGGAGUGUUUACGGCUUUGUCACCAAAACAGCAUUGUGGCAGAAGUAUGGAACACCAGCAUAUACAUGUAUGUAUCGGGACCUUUACAGGAUAACUUCUUCAGAUGACUGCAAAGCGCAACGUUGCAAAGCUCAUUUCUACAACCCUAGUCACCAAUGACAGUGCACCACCAUACCCUUUGCUCACCAGUUCAAACAAACUACCGCCCUCGAGUCAGAAGGCUGUCCUCAUCGUCCAACACACAGCGGUAACAUCACCCCAGGACUUCAGCCCUCCGGUGAUACCUGGUUCAGCGAAGACUAUGCCUUGGGGAGUGUUUACGGCUCUGUCACCAAAACAGCAUUGUGGCAGAAGUAUGGAACACCAGCAUAUACAGGAUAACUUCUUCAGAUGACUGCAAAGCGCAACAUUGCAAAGCUCAUUUCUACAACCCUAGUCACCAAUGACAGUGCACCACCAUAUCCCUUUGCUCACCAGUUCAAACAAACUACCGCCCUCGAGUCAGAAGGCUGUCCUCAUCAUCCAACACACAGCGGUAACAUCACCCAAGGACUUCAGCCUCCGGUGAUACCUGGUUCAGCAAAGACUAGGCUUGGGGAGUGUUUACGGCUCUGUCAUCAUAACAGCAUUAUGGCAGAAGUAUGGAACACCAGCAUAUACAGGG